GCCGUUUGGACUGAUUGUUGGUAGAGAAAGGUACGUUGGACUAAGCCUGGAAAACCACCGUUUGAAGAUCUUUUGAGAGCGCUUCUGCAACAUAGUGAAUUUAUUGAAAAGAGUUUGAAGGACAGUGAGAAAGUGCAGAUGGAAGACAUAAUAUUAAGUAAAGCUGUUCAACGGGGCCUCGAGUCUCCAGCAUACAACAUUGGCUGAUACAGUCCAAACGUCGAGAUGGCUAUGCAUCAUUUUCAUUGUCUGCUCUACGAAAAUCUUAGCAGUUGAUUUUCAUAGUGAAGAAAGCACAUAUUGAGAAAAUUCUACGCCAUUGUAAUAAAACUAAACACGGUCAAGGGAGAAGGAAGAAGAAGUGGUGGGAAUCAGUCCACUCUGGCUCGUCUUUUCCUCGUCCUCACCACAAUUUACGAUCCAAAUGAAGCCCUUAAGCGUGGAUUAAACUUUUCUAAUGAUUCGUUUAGUUGUGUAGCAAACAUGCCUAUUGAUUUUAUUAUGUGUAAUUGAAGGGCUCUUGAUUUUACCAUUAUUAUUUUUCAAGGAGCUUGAGCAUAGCUUCACAGUAGCCUUUGUUGAAAUGGUGAUCACAACUACACUAACUAGAAAAGUAAGGCGAAAGCCCUCUGAUUAGACUUUUUUAGGGAUGGGAUCUACCCGAAGUUUUUGGAUAUUUAGUAAGUGAAACCGUUGGGUUCAAAUUUAAUUAUGGAACCGUUCAGGUUCGAUUCCAUUUGGUUUGGUUCCAUUCUAUUCCCAAGUUCCGUAUUGUAAUUAAAAUUUUAAUAUUUAUAAAGUUACAUUAAUUCAACUAA